GCCGGUAUAGCGCAAGCGGCAGCGCGGGCGCUUUGUAAGCGUCAGGCUUCGGGUUCAACUCCUGAUACCGGCGCCA
rnacentral:tRNA from 1 species